UGGUGAUGAUGAUGAUGAUGAUGGUGAUGAUGAUGAUGAUGCUGACUACGGCGAUGAUGAUGAUGUUGAUGAUCGUCAUCAUCAUCGUCAACAUCAUCAUCGUCAUCGUCAUCAUCAUCAUCAUCA
rnacentral:pre_miRNA from 1 species